rnacentral:tRNA from 1 species
GCGGGAGUAGCAUAACCACGGCAAUGCGCCGGGGCUCCAUCCCGGAGAUGACGGUUCGAUACCGUUCCUCCCGCCCCA